rfam:Otolemur garnettii contig149124, whole genome shotgun sequence.
AGCUUUGCACAGUGGUAGUAUCAUACUCAAGGAGGUCUAUCUGAGGCAUGACUAUUGCUAUUUGAAAACUUUCCCAGUACCCUGUGGUGACACUGGCAAUUUUUAAGUCUUUAUAGAGCCUGAGUAAA